UACGUAGGGUGCAAGCGUUGUCCGGAUUUAUUGGGCGUAAAGAGCUUGUAGGCGGUUUGUCGCGUCUGCUGUGAAAUUUCGGGGCUCAACCCCGAACUUGCAGUGGGUACGGGCAGACUAGAGUGUGGUAGGGGAGACUGGAAUUCCUGGUGUAGCGGUGAAAUGCGCAGAUAUCAGGAGGAACACCGAUGGCGAAGGCAGGUCUCUGGGCCAUAACUGACGCUGAGAAGCGAAAGCAUGGGGAGCGAACAGG
rnacentral:rRNA from 1 species